rnacentral:rRNA from 1 species
AUUGAACGCUGGCGGCAGGCCUAACACAUGCAAGUCGAACGAGUGGCGGACGUGUGUGUAAUGUCUGGGAACCUGCCUGAUGGAGGGGGAUAACUACUGGAAACGGUAGCUAAUACCGCUUACUAUCACUUUAGCCUAGGUCUGAGUGGCUAUUGGUUGGGGUAAAGGCCUACCAAGGCGACGAUCCGUAACUGGUCGGAGCGGAGGAUCAGUCACACUGGAACUGGGACACGGUCAAGAGUCCUAAGGGGGGCAGAAGUGGGGAAUAUUGGACAAGGGGCGAAAGCCUGAUCAGGAAAUGCAGCGUGUGUGAAGAAGGCCUUCGGGUUGUAAAGCACUUUCAGAGGGGAGGCGUUACCUGCAGAGGAAGCACCGGCUAACUCCGUGCCAGCCGCCGCGGUAAUUC